UACGUAGGCAGCGAGCGUUGUUCGGAAUUACUAGGCGUAAAGAGUGUGUAGGCGGUGCUCUAAGUUCGGUGUGAAAUCUCCUGGCUUAACUGGGAGGGUGCGCCGGAAACUGGAGUGCUCGAGCGUGGGAGAGGAAAGCGGAAUUCCUGGUGUAGCGGUGAAAUGCGUAGAUAUCAGGAGGAACACCGGUGGCGAAGGCGGGUCUCUGGGCCGAUACUGACGCUGAGGAGCGAAAGCGUGGGGAGCAAACAGG
rnacentral:rRNA from 1 species